rnacentral:lncRNA from 1 species
GAGAUCAAAAGAUCUCAGCUUCCAAGAGGAGGCUAUUUUGAGCUCCUCUGUCAAGUUCCUAUUCACACACAGCAACUGGUAGCAACUAAAAAUAAUCAGUGUCACUACCAGCUAAGAAUCGGUCAUGUUUGGCUGUUGGACAAUGAGCACAAUACGAUUUGGGAUCCCUGCUGGUCGCCUGCCUCCUGCCUACUCACCAGCCUCCUUUGCUGCUUGUGGAAGCUAUUGCAAAGCCAUUAGCAGGCAGGACCGACAGCGACAGCGGAGCCGGAGCCGCACUGCAGCACACCUCCAGGAGCGCGGCGCAGGGCGGCCAAGUAUGAGCACCGAUCACAGCUGAGGAGCGUGUCAAUCAAGGGUGCUAGGAUUGCAUGUGCAGGGCUGCUGCCUGAAACCCCGAGAGGCUGGGAGGGACUCCAGCUGCUGCACGAGAGUGAGUUUGAAGCUUUCUGCCUCUGUUCAGUAACGCAUCCCGAGGUAAACUGUUACCUGAGCCAGGACUCUGAAUAAUGCAUUUCCCAGGGAAGACCGGUGUAGCACAAGAGAAUGCUGGAACUCCUAGCAAGAUUCCUGCCUGAGAGGGAAGAUGUCUCACUAUCAUUUUAUCAAGUGCUGUUGCUUCCGGCUAUGCAACGUCUUCCGAUGCCACGAGAUGGAGAUUGACCAGUGCUUGCUGGAGUCACUUCCCCUUGGUCAGCGGCAGUGUCUGGUGAAGCGCAUCCGCUGUGAGCAAAUCAAAGCGUACUACGACCGUGAGAGGGCUCUGCAGAAGCAGGAGGGUUUCCUGAAGAGGCUCAAACAUGGCAAGAGCCAGAAAGUGCGCUUCCGCCUGGCGGACAUGAUUCAGGAUGCCAUCGUCCACCACGACGACAAGGAAGGUGAGAGCGAGCAGGGUCGGGCCGGGCGUCUGGUGUCUGCCCUUACUGCUAUGUGGUGGGGAGAUGGGAAAUGUAAAGGAGGUGCCGGGUUUGGACGGUCUGAACUGUUCAAGAAACAUCAUUGAAAAUCCCAAGUCUAGAAAAUAAGAAAAAAAUAUGCAGUUUUGCUGAAGUUGUUAUUUUUUACUUUAUAAGGUUUAUGUGUCUGAAAAGCAAGUGAUUUUCUCUCAAAUUAUUCAUUCACGUUGCUAAUGAAACUUUUUAUCAACGAACUGGUUUCCUUUGAUGAUGAUUCUGGCUGUAAUAUUCAUUAAUUAUCAGCUCUUACUUGGAUGCCAUAGUACUAAAGUCAGUUCCGUCAAAAUUCUCAGGACAUAAGCGUCAAUUCAUCCAAAAUAUAAUAAUUGCUUCCACCAGGGUCUCCAUGUACUUGGUCAGUGGUUCCAGGUCUUAAUUAGAUCUUCGGGUGGUCCAUUUUGAGUUGCGUUUUACAUGGGGUGAGAUUCCAUCCUAUGCACAUGCCAUCUGGUUUUCACAGCACCAUUUGUUUAAGAGGCCGGCCGCUCUCCAGGUUUUGGGAUCUCUAUUCUAUUCUGUUAGUCGGUGUGUCUGUGUUUCCACUAGUGCUGAGCUAUAAUAUACAGCAUGCUCCAUAUAUGCCUCAGGGCCUGGAGUUGCAAUGCCUCCCACUCUGCUCUUUUGUGGAAACUCUUUUGACUUUGUUUCACCCUUACCCUUGACUGGCUUAUGGCACCAAGGUAUUAGACUUUCCUCCAAAUGCAAAAUACACAUCUCAGUCAUGUUCAGGAGACUCAGUUCCUACCUUUCAUAUAUUCCUGGGUAUGAACUCUUCUGUUCUUGUUCUUAGAAUCUACUUUCCCAAGUUGCUGUGGGGGCAUAAUGUUUCGGCUCUGGGUAUAAAUGAAGAAGGCUUCAAAGAAACAAAUAUAAAUUAAUGUGCCAGGAUUGGCUCUAAAACCAGUAGUUCAGUUAAUCUGAAAUAGGUAUUCUUCACAAGGCAUUAACCACAAUUUGCACUCCAAGAAAUUCUGAAACAGAUUUUUGUUUUUGUAGUUCAUUUCAUGCCAGAACUUUCUCUGACCCUUUUCCAUUUUUCACUUAGAAAAAUCAUUAAGAAAAUUAUAAAUGUAGUGAGACAUGUGUUUCUAAG